UAAUCACGACAAUGUGUACGAAGUUGUCGGUGUCAUCACGCAGGGGGCUUACAACCUCGACCGCUGGGUGACGUCAUACACGCUGGCGUUCUCUGUGAACGGUGAAACAUGGACACCGUACAAUUCAAGCACCGGGGACGUAAAGAUUUUCAAAGGAAACAGUGACAGCCAUCGCUAUGCUCGCAACAUGUUGGACAAACCGGUUUUAGCGUCAUACACACGGUUCUAUCCGCGCAGCGUUCAGAAUGCACUGAGGGUCGAGGUUCUUGUCAAAGACGGUUCCGGGUGUGCAUCUGACGAGGCCUUCUGUAACGGGACGUGCCGAGCACGGGACACUUUCUGUCGGGCUUUUGACGGAUGUGUACCGCAGCCCUAUAACCAUGGA